AUCAGCUGUGUCCUUUGCUCCUGCCCACGCUGCUCCUACCCCUCGCUGGAGAAUGUGGCUUGAGAAGAGGAGCAGAGAGACCCACCGUGGGCCCAAGCUACCGUUUGGCACAUGCUCUGGCCAUGAGGAGGAGGGAGGAGCCCUGCUGCGACGACUGUAGCCACGUGGGAGCCAGCUCGUGCCCACGGGGCCGAUCGCCCCCCACCCCCACCCUCGACGGCUGUGGAGGCAGGCACAUCCUGACAAGGCCAGAGGGGCGAAGUUCCCCCCGCCACCGCGAGAGGGAGAGUCCCCCUCUCCCUGCGCCCCUGGGAUGCGGCCCCUCGUGAGGUAAAUCUGCCUCCAUGUGGUGGUGAGGCUGACCCCACAGCUCUAGACACAAGCCAUCCAUCCCUAGAGGAACUGAGAACACUGGCUGUCCAUCAGUAGUUCAGGCAACCCUCCAGGCUCCUUUUGGAUUUGUUUUGGCCAAGUGUACAGAGGUGAACCAAUCCAGACUGAGUUCCAAGCUAGCAGGGGGCCUCAUCUCCAUCUGGGUUUCCAACAGAGCUGGAUGGGGACAUGAACUUGGGGAAGACUUGUUAGUAAGUGAAUUCUGAAGUUUCCUCUGCCAAGGAUCCACUGUGGUAAGAACUUUAAGGUCUCCUUCUACGCCCAGCUCAACUGCUACCUUCAGAGAAUUGAUGCCCACAUGGCUGGUCUGCACCUGCCUCUGCCAUGACCUAACUUGCAGCAUCACCAGUGUGCAUUUCUGCCCAGCCACAUU